AUUGCACGCUGGCGGCAGGCCUAACACAUGCAAGUCGAGCGGAGCGGCGGACGGGUGAGUAAUGCAUAGGAAUCUGCCUGGUAGUGCGGGAUAACGUCCUGAAACGGGCGCUAAUACCGCAUACUAUCAGAUGAGCCUAGGUCGGAUUCGCUAGUUGGUGGGGUAAAGGCCUACCAAGGCGAUGAUCCGUAACUGGUCUGCGAGGAUGAUCUGUCACACUUGAACUGAGACACGUGCCAGACGCCGACGGGAGGCAGCGGUGGGGAUUAUUGGACAAUGGGGGAAAGCCUGAUCCAGCCAUGCCGCGUGGGUGAAGUAGGUCUUCGGAUGGUAAAGCACUUUAAGUUGGGAGGCGUUACCAACAGAAUGAGCACCGGCAAACUUCGUGCCAGCAGCCGCGGUAAUAC
rnacentral:rRNA from 1 species